GCAAGUGUAAAAAAAAUUGGAAACAGUGACCGCGAGUAAUUUUUUUAAAUUUACGUUUGCGGAGUUUAACAGGGGUUCCUGAAUUCACAAGGUUAAGUGAAAAAAUGCACAUAAUUUGUUUGAAAACACUAUUUUACUAGAUUCUUGUCAAAACAUUUUUCUAUUGACAAGAGGACAGGUAACAAGAUUUAGAAUGGAACGUGAUCGAAACGUGAUUUUGAAUUGUCUGGAUUAAAUGCGGAUCAAUUAUUAUUUGUGGCCUUAUCAAAGAGAGUGUCAGUGGUAGACAACCGACUCUUUUAGUUUCCUGUUUAAGAAACUUUAAAUAGAGAUUUCAUUUUUUUAAGAUCUGGUAUUAUAACACGUUUUGAACACGGAGUGAACCAUGUCGUGCAAUAAUCAUAGAAAUUUACUGGGCUUUUAAAUAUAAUUUAUUAUUACUCUUUUUGUUCAAGAGCACUUUGGUUGAACCAAAAGAAGAAAUGUAAAUGUUCUUCUCUGCUCUCAUCGGCUUUCACUAUCUUAAUGCAUGUUGAUUAAUUAACCUUUUUUUUGUUAUUUUUCACCUUCAUCAUCCAAAAAACUGCGACGCUUACGCUUAUUUUACGUAAAGGUACAUUACAACUACAACGUGAGCAUAUUGUUGUAAUGUUGUUACACAUGCGUUAUUUAGUUUGUCGUGUCCACCAACUCCUGAUCUUUAAACUGGGAUGUGCACAGGAUGUGCACUUGUAAACUUGUAAUGUUGUUACAUUCGUUAUUCAAUGUCUCGUUUCCGUCAACUGCUGAUUUUGAAACUUGGAGGUUCACCUACCCUAUAUUUUAUAAUAGUCGUACUGACAAAACCUAGACGACCAGUUGGUAGGUAGGACGUUGACGUCACGACACCCAGGUCGACCACGGUACCACGCAAGGUGAAGAAAACCUGUUGUUGACAAGCAGUGGCGCAGUAUUAUUGUAAUGUGUUUGAAACUUAGAUAUGGUUGCAGAGGAAUAUUUUUAAAAAAAGUCCCUCGAGCGGUUCUAAAUGUAAGAUUCAUUUAUUCACCGAAGAAACGAGUCAAAUGAUAGAAGAAGAAAAUGUCAAUUGACCCAUGCCCAGUAACGUCAACCUGCAGAAGAAAACGCCAGUUUGCAUUUAACAAUCGAAGGCCACGGAGAUUAUUACACAAAACGUGCCAUGCAGUGGUGUGGAGGUUGGGUGAGAACGAGACGUGUUAGAAAACCAUUUGGUAUUCAUUUUGAAUUUUGAUAUUGGUUUUUGUAGACCCAUCCCC